GCCCGCGGCGAAUUCGGGGAAACCCGGACUCUUAGCUCUGUAGGAUGGAAGCUAAGGAGCCAGAUGCAUAGAUGGACCCUAGUGUGGAUGGCACAGGUGAUACCAGGCGUGAUUGGGUAGGAAACGUGGCUUGGUAAUGUUUUGUGAGCUAUGCAGAGAUAGGAGGGUCAUGUUUUAUUUAUUUAUUUUUACUGUUUUAAAGAUUUUAUUUAUUCAUGAGAGACACAGACAGAGGCAGAGACUCAGGCAGAGGGAGAAGCAGGCUCCAUGCAGGGAGCCCGACGUGGGCCUCGAUCCCGGACCCCGGGGUCACGCCCCGGGCCGAAGGCAGGCAGACGCUCAACCGCUGAGCCACCCGGGCUGCCCAAGGGUCAUGUUUUAAAUGGAGGUCUUGUGUCUCUGCCACAUGGAAAGGCGGGAGAAAAUAGACCAGCUGAGAUGAAGGAUCUUUCUGGAUCAGCAUCUGGUAUUGCAGAAGAAUGGAUGGAAGAAGCAUCUCCCAUUGGGCGGGAAAUGGCUGACCAGGAGUGGAAGCGGAGGGACGGUGACCCGAGACUGGAUUCCUCUUUCAAUGAAUCAUGCCGUCAGCAGUGGGAAGAUGGACUGGAGACCAGGGAAGAGUAAGAAAAUGCAGGUUUAUUUGAGAGGGAAAUCGAGUGAGCACAUGUGGACACAGAGAGGGAGAAGCAGACUCCCAGCUGAGUGGGGAGCCCAAUGCAGAGCUCCAUCCCAGGACCCCAGGAUCAUGACCUGAGCCCAAGGCAGAUGCUUAAUCCACCCACACUCCAUCUGGUCCAUCUCUUCAUUCUUUGAAGCAGCGUGACCAAGAAGCACGGGCAUCGAAGGAAACGAAAUCCUGCAAUGGGAUGCCUGGUGGCAAUGGGAUGCUCGUUCUCUGUGUCUCUCAUGAAUAAAUAAAAUAUUUUUUA